rnacentral:Y_RNA from 1 species
GGCUGGUUUGAUGGCAGUGGGUUUUCAGAACUUAUUAAUUAACAUUAGUGUCACUAAAGUUGGUAUACAACCCCCUCACUGCAAAAUUUGACUGGCUUAAA